rnacentral:tRNA from 2 species
AAUUUUAUAGUUUAUUAAAAAUAUUAAAUUGCAAGUUUAAAGAAAAUUUUAAAAUAUUUAAAAUUU